UAACGUGUGGGCAACCUGCCCUGUACUGGGGAAUAAUCAGUUGGAAACGAUGACUAAUACCGCAUGUGGUCCUCGGAAGGCAUCUUCUGAGGGAAGAAAGGAUUUAUUCGGUACAGGAUGGGCCCGCAUCUGAUUAGCUAGUUGGUGAGAUAACAGCCCACCAAGGCGACGAUCAGUAGCCGACCUGAGAGGGUGAUCGGCCACAUUGGGACUGAGACACGGCCCAA
rnacentral:rRNA from 1 species